AGUGGCGAACGGGUGAGUAAUGCAUCGGAACGUACCGUGUAGUGGGGGAUAACGUAGCGAAAGUUACGCUAAUACCGCAUACGCCCUGAGGGGGAAAGUGGGGGACCGCAAGGCCUCACGCUAUAUGAGCGGCCGAUGUCGGAUUAGCUAGUUGGUAGGGUAAAGGCCUACCAAGGCGACGAUCCGUAGCGGGUCUGAGAGGAUGAUCCGCCACACUGGGACUGAGACACGGCCCAGACUCCUACGGGAGGCAGCAGUGGGGAAUUUUGGACAAUGGGCGCAAGCCUGAUCCAGCCAUGCCGCGUGAGUGAAGAAGGCCUUCGGGUUGUAAAGCUCUUUCAGACGGAAAGAAAUCUCUCGGGAUAACACCCUGGGAGGAUGACGGUACCGUAAGAAGAAGCACCGGCUAACUACGUGCCAGCAGCCGCGGUAAUACGUAGGGUGCGAGCGUUAAUCGGAAUUACUGGGCGUAAAGCGUGCGCAGGCGGUGAUGUAAGACAGAUGUGAAAUCCCCGGGCUCAACCUGGGAACUGCGUUUGUGACUGCAUCACUCGAGUACGGCAGAGGGAGGUGGAAUUCCGCGUGUAGCAGUGAAAUGCGUAGAUAUGCGGAGAACACCGAUGGCGACGCAGCCUCCUGGCCAGUACUGACGCUCAUGCACGAAAGCGUGG
rnacentral:rRNA from 1 species